GAUGAACGCUGGCGGCGUGCCUAAUACAUGCAAGUCGAGCGAACAGACGAGGAGCUUGCUCCUCUGACGUUAGCGGCGGACGGGUGAGUAACACGUGGAUAACCUACCUAUAAGACUGGGAUAACUUCGGGAAACCGGAGCUAAUACCGGAUAAUAUAUUGAACCGCAUGGUUCAAUAGUGAAAGACGGUUUUGCUGUCACUUAUAGAUGGAUCCGCGCCGCAUUAGCUAGUUGGUAAGGUAACGGCUUACCAAGGCAACGAUGCGUAGCCGACCUGAGAGGGUGAGCGGCCACACGGGAACUGAGACACGGUCCAGACUCCUACGGGAGGCAGCAGUAGGGAAUCUUCCGCAAUGGGCGAAAGCCUGACGGAGCAACGAAGCGUGAGUGAUGAAGGUCUUCGGAUCGUAAAACUCUGUUAUUAGUGAAGAACAAAUGUGUAAGUAACUAUGCACGUCUUGACGGUACCUAAUCAGAAAGCCACGGCUAACUACGUG
rnacentral:rRNA from 1 species